rnacentral:rRNA from 1 species
GACGAACGCUGGCGGCAUGCCUAAUACAUGCAAGUCGAGCGGAGUUGAUGGAAAGCUUGCUUUCCUGAUACUUAGCGGCGGACGGGUGAGUAACACGUAGGCAACCUGCCCUCAAGCUUGGGACAACUACCGGAAACGGUAGCUAAUACCGAAUACUUGUUUUCUUCGCCUGAAGAGAACUGGAAAGACGGAGCAAUCUGUCACUUGGGGAUGGGCCUGCGGCGCAUUAGCUAGUUGGUGAGGUAACGGCUCACCAAGGCGACGAUGCGUAGCCGACCUGAGAGGGUGAUCGGCCACACUGGGACUGAGACACGGCCCAGACUCCUACGGGAGGCAGCAGUAGGGAAUCUUCCGCAAUGGGCGAAAGCCUGACGGAGCAAUGCCGCGUGAGUGAUGAAGGUUUUCGGAUCGUAAAGCUCUGUUGCCAGGGAAGAACGCUUGGGAGAGUAACUGCUCCCAAGGUGACGGUACCUGAGAAGAAAGCCCCGGCUAACUACGUGCCAGCCGCCGCCGUAA